rnacentral:ncRNA from 1 species
GGUGCGAAGCUACCAUCUGAGGGAUUAUGACUGAACGCCUCUAAGUCAGAAUCCCGCCUGAGAAAGCGACGAUGCAUUCGUGCCUCGGCCUCGAGAGGCGUAGCUAGACGGCCGCGUGGCCGUGGAAAGAGCCCGAUUCCGACCCGAGAGGCCGCGGCAAGAGGCGGCCUCGAAGUCGGUGGAUCCUCCUGCUCGAAAGGCGGGGUGCUAAACCAUUCGCAGACGACCUAGUUGAAGAUCGGGGUGUCGUGAUCACUAGAGCAGUACAUCUCACUGCGAUUUGUUGAGAGUAAGCCUCAAGAUCUGUCGGUUUGU